rnacentral:lncRNA from 1 species
CUACAUAUGUAGAUGAGAUAUAUACUCAAGUCAUGGGUCUAGAGAGGCAUGGUCGUGUUCGAGGGUAUGGAUUUGGUCCUACUCCUACCUCAGUCUUUGGUUCUACUAGUAGAAGGCGAUCAGGAGUUAUUCUUUCAACACAACUUGAAAACACCCAAGAGAUGCUAAUAGCUGCAGAACAAAAGUUUACAACUGCAACUGAAGAACUCUCAAAUGUGAAAGAUGAACUCUCACAUGUGAAAGAAACAUUUGAAGAGAAGUUGAUAGAAGUUCAAAGGAAGACACGAGAAGAAGUGAAAGAAGAGUUUGAAGAAAAAAUGAUGGAAAUGCAAAGAAAAAUGCAAGCACAAAUGCAAGCACAAAUUCAAGAACAGAUGAUGCAAAUGAUGCAAUAAUUUCAGCAAAAGCAGUAGAAAUUUGAAGAUUUUGCUACAUCUUUA